rnacentral:rRNA from 1 species
UGAGGAAUAUUGCACAAUGGGCGCAAGCCUGAUGCAGCAACGCCGCGUGCGGGACGAAGGCCUUCGGGUCGUAAACCGCUUUUCUGGGGGAAGAGCAAGGACGGUACCUCAGAAAUAAGUCUCGGCUAACUACGUGCCAGCAGCCGCGGUAAAACGUAGGAGGCGAGCGUUAUCCGGAUUUACUGGGCGUAAAGCGCACGCAGGCGGCUCUGUUAGUCGGACGUGAAAGCUCUCGGCUUAACCGGGAGAGGCCGUUCGAUACUGCGGGGCUUGAGGGAGGGAGAGGAAUGCGGAAUUCCCGGGGGAGGGGCGGAAUGCGUAGAUAUCGGGAGGAACACCUGUGGCGAAAGCGGCAUUCUGGCCCUAACCUGACGCUGAGGUGCGAAAGCGUGGGUAGCAAACA